AUUGAACGCUGGCGGCAGGCCUAACACAUGCAAGUCGAACGAGUGGCGGACGGGUGAGUAAUGUCUGGGAAACUGCCUGAUGGAGGGGGAUAACUACUGGAAACGGUAGCUAAUACCGCAUACCAUCGGAUGUGCCCAGAUGGGAUUAGCUAGUAGGUGGGGUAAAGGCUCACCUAGGCGACGAUCCCUAGCUGGUCUGAGAGGAUGACCAGCAAAACUGGAACGGAGACCCGGACCAGACUCCUACGGGAGGCGGCAUUGGGGAAUAUUGAACAAUGGGAGAAAGCCGGAUGCAGCCAUGCCGCGUGUAUGAAGAAGGCCUUCGGGUUGUAAAGUACUUUCAGCGGGGAGGCGUUACCCGCAGAAGAAGCACCGGCUAACUCCGUGCCAGCAGCCGCGGUAAUAC
rnacentral:rRNA from 1 species